rnacentral:lncRNA from 1 species
UCGAAUGCAUGGAAGAUAUAGACGAAUAUUGUAGGGCAACCAGAAAGUAAACAUUCUUGGUGUCAACGAACAACAUACCUGCCACAAAUAUCCCCAUUGCUCUUUUUCGGCAAAGAAGUAUCCGUGUCCCUCGUCCUUUCCUAUCCCCGUUUCUGCCUUGACACAAUCACCUUAGAGAUGUGUGAACAGUCUCUACUUAUCGACCACACGAUAGUACUUGGAUUAGGAUUGAGUUCCAGUGCAAGUUACCCCGCAUUCUUGAAUUAAGUAGGCAGCCAUUAGAGUGUGGUUUGCCAAGAUGCUCUGAGUUGCCUCCCACUUCCCCUUUUUCUACCAUUUAAUAUAGGUGCGGAUGUAUAGUUUCUCUUCCCAGUCUUGCCAGUGCUUUUUUUCAGACAUCUACGAAUGAGGACAGAAAAGAAAACUCAAUCACAGGACACAAAAUCAAGAGGAAACAGUAAAAUUCCCAGUUAUUUUGAGUAUUCCAGGCAGCAAAAAUUUUAAACCCACCUCAAAGUAGUUUAUCAGGCUUUCUUCAAAGUCGUUUGAGUCGCACAAAGACUUUGCACUGACCGAAGUAGUCAAACUUGAUGGGGAUUCUGAAGAAAUAAAGAACAUGGUAAGCAUUGAGAUUGAUUAACUUCAUAGCAUUUGUAAACGGAAGAUAUUUCAAAGGAAACAUGGUUAAGUCACAAAGCAGUGCCUUACCUGGACUUGAAGUUAAUAUUUCCUUUUUGCAGUGGGCAUUAACACGUCAAUGUUUGAUCUAUUUUUUCACUACCUUUGCAGUUUCACCUCUGAAAAAAUGUGACAAAAACAAUUCGAAAGACAAUAAGCAAUCCGCCCGACAGAAACACAUGAAGAUGUUCAAACAGGAAUAGAACAAGUGCAGAAUCACUGUACGAAAGGGACAUUUAGAAAUCAGAGUUGGGAUUCUGGUGUUGAACUACAGAAUAUCAUUGGAUGUGCUUUAAAAAGGACAGGGGAUGAAAUAUUCUGUCAAAUCUAGUAAAAAUACAGCGAGCAGUGUGCAAAGGCCGCUAAGAACCAUCUUCAAGUAUCAGAUUACACACAAUAAGCAUAUCAAAUUUUGGCAAUAAAAAGCAAAGUACUGGAAGCCUACGAGCAAGCAUGUAAUUUGGAGUUCCCAUACCAUAAACUCAUAAGCUUUAAGUCAGUGAAAUUUAAAAGGAAAACUUAAGUAUUCGACCCUCAGUCAUAGCAGAUAGGAGCACACAAAAGUACCAACGACUUAAUUGAAAGCACCAUUUGGAGAUACAAUGAAUUACAGAGGCACAAUGUGGAGGUACCAAGCAAGCUCAUUCAAAAUGGCAUUCCAAAUUAUCAACCGAAAGUAUGUAUCAAAUUUAGUUGCCAAUGAGCCAGUGAUUGUCAUUUUAGUUGGAUAGUGAACAAGACAAACGAAUAACGGUGGUAGCAAUCAUUUACUGAUGUCCCAAAAUAUGCCUCCACAUAUUAAUUUGAAAGUAAUGCAUAAAUGAAAACAAAUCUCAAAAACCCUAACACGGAACAAUUUCUAGCAUCAGAAGUCAGUUUUGUACCUCAAAUUUUUGCAUAGUACUUGUACUAAAGGUGGGAAAAAUCAAAUUGAGCCAUCUCUUAUAUAAAUUGCAGCUAGCAAAGAAAGUUAAUUGCUUACCGAAUUCAAUUUCACACAACUUCUGUUCAUGCAGCUUCGUCACUUUGUUGAAGCUAAGCAUUCAUGCUUGAACGCCGCAGACGACAUACAAGCCAGGCAGAGGCGAUUUGUAACUCCCAACUUCAGAAGCCCAAUUAUGCUGAAAUCAAAUAGCUGCAGUUCAAUUUUUGUGGGCAAAAACCCAAGGGAGAGCUAUUGUAUUGAAUUAAAUAGCUUCCCUUUUCUUCAAUCAGUGGAUUUCUUGUUUACUUUCAGCUGGAUUUUGAGCAUGCGAAUCGAAUCCAAGGACUGAAUUUGCUAGCUAUCUGCCCUUGGGAAAAGAUAAAGGCCUAGCUUUUGCACUAUUGGAUGGG